GGCUUUCCUGGGCAUCGCUCCGCUGGGGCGGGCACGGACACGCUGUUCCGAGCGCAGCCCUCGCCCUGUCAGGAAUUUAGGCUCCGUUGUUCUUAUCCGCAGUUAAACCCACCUUGAUGGGUGGAUAUGCGUGAUCUGAGGCACAGCGGGUUUGGUUCUGAGCUCUGCUUUGAUGUACUGAGUCUGCCUCGGGAGGGGCGCUUGGCGUGGCGCUCGAGUCUCACCUGAGCAUUUUAGGGAAGGAUUAUCUGGGCUGAAGAGAAUGCAAUGCGCUGAUUCAGGGAAAUAGUGCCCGCUCUAUGCUUAAGGUCCUGUUCUGGAUAAAGCUCCUCCGGUUCCGGUGUUCGGUUGUAGGUCGGUGUUUUUCUUCUCCGAUUGCAAAACAUUGGUUGAGGUUAUCAAUGGGCCGAGUGAUCCAGGCUUUUCAGGAGGGGUGGAGAAGGGUGGUUUGUUGGUCCUUUUGAUGUAUGUCAUUUCUCCGGAGAGCUGUGUGAGAUAUAAUCUGCUGUGUUUGUCACAUUUGUUGUCAAAUUCCCAGUCGUAGAUAUCACUUUCUUUGCCUUAAGUGUUGGUAAGGCUACAAGAGGUAAUUGCUUAUCCUUUGUUUCCCACCUUUACCAAUUUACAGUACUGGUUUGAAAACAAUGUUAAAUUUUAGAUUAAGGUAGUGUUUAGAGAGACCAUGCUUAAGCGAGUCCUUGCUUUUUGAUCUGACUUAUUUUCAUCAGUUAAUUUUCUUUUUUUUUCUUUGUAAUUUGAACAGAUUUUGUAACGAGUGUUUUUGUUGGAAUAUAUGGCAGCAUAUGAAGAGAUCACUUGAUAGCUUUUUGAUUUGGAAUAGCUCUUCAGCAUUCUGCCAUAUUAGGUGUAUGUUUGUACUUAAGUACUGGUGUGAUUUUCUAAAUGGAUUCUGCCAGUCAACAUACAGUAAAUGGUCUGUUGUGGUUAAUACUUCUUUGGAAAUCUCAUGUCAAGUUGUUUUUUUUUUAUUUAUUAUUCAUACACUACUCAAACUCCCGACAAAAUAGUUGUUACACUGUGUGCAGGCAGUCCUUUGUUCCUUUUUACUUUUUAAUUUACAUUUUCUUUUUAUUGGUAGAGUUCAGCUGUAUCAGUGUGUAUAUAUAUGUAUAUUCAGACAAUAUUACAUAUAUAUAUAUAGUAUAUGUAUUAGUUACUAUGGGUGACUGAUACCAAAGUGAUUUGAGGUUUCUUGGACUUGCUCAGUUUCCACUGCUCCAAAGUGCAGUUAUAUGAAUAGAACUGCUUAAACAUGAAGUUUGAUCUUGGCUAGAUCUGCCAGCUAGACACAGUAAUAGAGGUGUGAGAGCUUGUUAAGAAGUCUAUCACCAAUCUGUUGACAGGAAAUUACAGCAGUGAUGAUAGCAACAAUUGUUAUUAUUAGUAUUGAAAUACGUCACCUCAUAAAGCAUCUUUUAGAGAACUAUAAAACUGCAACAGUUGGAAUGACAUAGUUAAUGCUUAUCACAAUAUUAUGGAAAGGUUAAGUAUCAGAGUGUGCUUUGUUAACUGCCUUUUUUAACAGCUGUGAUUUUGGAGAAUUUCACAAUUUAUAGUUGAAAAUUUUACAGUAAAUUAAAAAAGACUCGAAAUUAAUUUUGCAUUUUUGCACUGCAUGUUGCUCUUUCUGUAAUCACCUCCUCUCUGUAUCUCUUCAUUUUUUCAUACAUCCUAUUCUGAAAAUUUCCUUAAGGGUUAGGGAAGUUGAGAUUAAUGAAAGUUAAUUAUUUCUUUAAAUUAUCUUUUAGGUGGCUUGAGAACCAAUCAGUGAUUCUGUAUAUAAUCUACAAGUGUAUAUCACAGAUUGAGUGAAAUAACUGGAAUUUUUCUGCUCUUCUUUUUUAACAAAAAUACACCGGAAACUCAAGAAAUCGGAUCUUAAAAAUCUGAGCAAAGCUGGAUUCAAGAGCAUCUUCUCACAACCAACCAAGUAAUGUGAUGAAUAAAACAGAGGUGGUGAUCUGAUGACAGGCAAAAGAAAGAGUAAGUAACUGCAAUUCCUAGAGAAGGCUCCCGACUGCCAGCUUGUGGUGGAUGUAGCAGCGCUGGUGUGGUGAUAGUCUGAGGAUACAGAUUUUCCAUAAAGGUUGCAGUCUGAGGUGUAAGUAUGUAAAAGAACAUAGUCAUUUAGGAAGACAGAUAAUUAGGAAAAUCUGCAAGGCAUCCUGACAGGAAAAACCCAAAACUUCCAUUAUUUAACUUCAGAAGAGUGACUUUUUUUCUUUGAUUUUUCCUCCAUUUAUGCAUUUACAAUCUUGUUAUCUGUUUCAGAUAUUGUGAAUAAACAUCUUUAUUUGCAUGGUUAACUGAACCUGGCAUGAAUUAAAAGUGAUAUGAUAUUAAAUGAAUAUGAAGAAGUAAUUUCUCACUCCAGUUCCUGGAGCAAAGUGCAAGUAUCUGGCUCUCCAUGUUUUGUAGAAUAGCAGAAAGCUAGCAGACCAUGCUUCCAAGGAAAUUGUUCGGGUUCUCUGGAAAAAAGCUAUUACAGGUUCAGAGAAGAAAGAAACCACUUAUGUAGCUGUAAGUAACCAUCUCUCUGUCAUUCUCAGUAUUGGGGUAUACUUUGAACUUGGAAGGCUCUCAGGGAGGCUAUAGCAAGAGACUAAGACAUGUUGGAAACUAAAUUCUUGUAUCCUAUCCUACUGUGACAGAACUUAAAGUAUGCCUUCAAUACGCCUAUUUCAAUAUUAUGUUAUUAGCCAAAUGUAGAUGUUUAGUGCUGCAGACAGAGUUUUGUGUGUUGUUGUCCCAGGGUCUCUCCAGUCAUCAGGCUGUUCAUCUUAAUCUAAUUUUAUUACUUCCUCCAUUCCAUUUCUUUCUUGGCAGUAAACAUAAUGUUGGUACUGCAGUGAUAAAUUGAUGUAGUUCUGUCUUUCUACUUUUGUAUUCAUUUGGAAAUGCUAAAUGUUGGUAAUAACAGUGUAGUUAGUAGUGUUGAUGUCGUUACCUUGUUUUAGCAAAAUUGAGCACUUAGUAUUUAUCUCCAAACCUGCUCUGGUAUGGUUAUUUUCACUCAAACCUUUGGUUUCACCUCUAGUAACUUCUGCAUCAGUGAUGCAUUUUCCAUAUGAAGUCAUGAAGACAAAAACUACAUUAAGAGAUUACAGUUCUUAAAUAAAGCAGAAAGAGUUACAGAUUUUCAUAUGCACUGAGGUAAUACAUUUAAUAAAAUAAUCUCCUUUCCUCCUUGUGUAGACUCCAGCCUCUUCCAGAAUCCUAUCCAGGCAAUGUCAGCUUAAUGAUCAAAACCUUAAAAUAGAGGUCAGAAGUACUAAAUUUGGAUGUCCAAUUUAGUACUUGUCACAGGGGUAUGAUUUCCAAGAAUUUGUAACAUUGGAAAGUACUUAUAGUUAGCAUACAUUCCCAUUUAUUUCAGUGGGUACUUGGCUCUACUCAUCAGAUCCAAGGUGUCCAGGUGAGUGCACAGAGAAUUAGGACUGAGCAAUCACACAGUAGUUAGGAGCACGCAUUCACUGCCAACACCAUGGUGCCCUUGUAGAUUUAUAUAAAUUACCUAAUUUGUUACAAACACAGCUGUUUAAUCUGCAUGAUCCUCACUGUGUAGCACAUCAGAGGUGUAUGUCACUGACUUUUGACUUGGAGUUGAGCAUAUAAUAGCAUGUUGACAGGAUUUACUCAUACUUGCCCUUCAUGUGGAGUGAGCAUGGUGCUGGAAUAUGUCUUUCAGGAGAGGUCAGUUUGAAGUUCCUGUUUUAGCAUUCCUGUUGGGCCUACAGAGAUUUUGUCUACCUGAUGAAGCCAUCAAUAUCAGAACUGAUUUAUAUACAUGAGUUUGGAAGUUCUGUCUAUUAGGCAGCAUCAGACCUUUGCUGAGGCAGUAGCAAGUCUGGGACAAACAAAGUUGUGUAGGGUUCAUUAGCACUUGUUAAGUGGUACACACGCGUUGGGUUUCUCUGUACAGAGAAAGAUUACAGGCCAUGUUGGUUGCUCUUGGCAGUUCAGGCUUUUCUGUGGAUGUCAUGUGUUGAGUCCUUACUUCUGACUUAUUUUUCACUUUAUUUUUCCUUCCCAGAUUUUGAUGUCACCUUCUUGUGUCCUUCCCCAUAUAAACGAGGAGGCAAAUUUUAAUUCUGAAUUAGUCCAUCUAUUUUUGGAUUUCUUCUGUGACAAAUGACUAGGGAUUUUAACAGUUGAACUUCCUCCAUUGCAAACCAUCUUAAUCAUCUGCAGACCAGGUAUCUUAUGAAAUCCAAACCUGAUCAGGAGAACAACCACAGAAACUAAAAGAAAUUGUAUUUCUCAAAAUCAUUGUGUAUCAGAUACAGGUAUGGAGCACACUUUGUUUUCCCUUUGCAAUGGCUGCAUUUGACAAAAUUGUUCCGUUCAAAUAGGUCUUUUUUUGUGUUAUCUUUCUGUAAAUUGUCUUAUGUCUGCUACUCAGGUUUCCUCAGUGUGUCUUGUGAAAAAAGAGGCCAAAAUCCAAUGUAGAUUAGCCAUGCUGUUUUGGAUUUCUUUGCUGUGCAAGUAUGAUGUUUUUAGAACUUUUUGCAUAGCAAUUAUUGUUUUGUUUUUUGAAUCCUACCCAUUUCCACUGACGUUGUCUUUACCCCUAACUUGGCUCAGUUAGUUAUGCUGUGUGAAUUGACAGACACUCCACUUCUAAACAUGCAGCUGCUUUUGUAAACUAAACUAAUGAUGGCUAAUAACUGGGGAUGCUGAAGAGGCACUCCCAAAUCCUGGAUUUACUUUACUGCUGCUCUCUUGUGCUCGUAAUCGUUUUCAUCUGAUCAUGCAGGGAGGCACUCCUGGGAGCUAAACAAAAGAUUGGUGACUUGUUUAUGAAGGGGUUGUUCUGGUGGUAGUUAUCCUGUGGCAGGAACAGCUUCCCACAAAGACCUUUGCAGGGGGAGUUACUAUGCAGAACAUAAUAAAGGUGCCAACCUAUAAACACUAGGAAUUGAAUAAUUGAUACUGAAGAGACAAUGAUGGAAGAGAAGGAGAAUAUUAUUGUCUUGAUUAUGGCUCUGUCUAGUCUACUCUUUUGGAAACAGCAAUAUCAUCAUACAUAAUAGUGUCAAUAACUCUGUUCCAAGGGUUUGUUCUUGAUAAAAUAGUCUCAAAAAUAGUACAUGAUAGUUUUGCUGUUUGGCAGACCUACAGGUCAGUACAUGGCAAGCUCUGUGCUUGUGUUGAAGUAUGUUGUAAUUUGGAUGCAGGUUUUUGUUUUCUAUUAUUGAAGCAUAGCUUACAUGUUUUCAUGUACAUCCUAAUCAUGAAGUUUGGUUUUGCAUCUUUGCACUGUCCAGAGGAGUGAGCUCAAUCCUCACCUUCCACCAUGCAACAGUUAUGAGCACAUCCUGUAGAGAGCACCUUAAAACUGCAAAAUCCUGAAGGUACCCUUUAAUGAUGUUAAAGGAUUCAAGAUAGUGGAUAAGUAAAGCAGGCAGUAGGUUUCCCUGUCAAUUGCCUCUCUCAGGAAAGUGCUUGGUGUAUCUCUCCAUCAGCAAGGGACAGGAUACACACCUCUUCUUGCAGUAGGUGACCCGGAGCAGUAGUUCCAACAAACGCUUAAAUGGAAAUGGGAUGAAGGCCUUUGCAUAGCAGCUUUACUAUGAAGACCAUGCUGUCAAAUGAUCUUCAAGCUUAUCUAUAGAUAACAUUCCAUAGGACUGCUUAGCAGAUGCAGCUUACAGAGGUAUUUCUUAGCAAGCACCCUGAUCAAGCAUCACUUCUGGUGGAGCUCUGAGGAUAAAAGGUCUCUGGACCUUCAUCAGUACCAUAAAAGGCACUGACACAGCUCCCAGUGUUUUUAAACUUGUGUUUUGGUGAAGACUGUUCAUUUGGAUCAACAUGAGCUGUUCUGAAGGGUCAGACCAAAGGGUCUUAGCAAUUCAUAAACAAAGAACUGCUUUGGAUGUGAGAAUGAAAAAGGUGGUAUGUGCAGGAAGUAAGAGUUACUGAGGCUGUAAGAAACAAAAAAUCCUUGAUUCUAUAGCAGUUGGUGAACAUUAUAUACACCAAUAUUAUUUAAUUUAUUCCCUCUUUUGUCAUAAUACAGCUAAAACUUCCAGAUCAGAAGAGUGGGAAGGAAAAUCCAGACAUUUCUUCCUAACCAGAGAACAAGGAAUAUAUUCAGUAAACAAGUAGGAAUGAAAUGCACCAACACUUUUAUGUUUUUGAAGCAAAAAAUUUGAUCUUCAUUCCAGGAUGGUCAUCCAGGACUUUGAACCAUAAAUCCCACUCAGUCUAGUAUGAUAUACCAGUCUUUCAUACAAGAUAUCAAUGAUGACUAGGGGAUGGAACAGUGAUAAUGUGUAUUUUUCUGUAAAUACAAAAAUUUGCAAAGAUCACCCAGAAGAUGCAGAGUGAUUCUGCACCACCACCCCACGGACUGAAAAUAAACAGCUGAAAUCAUGUGAGCACACUGCUGUAAUAUGUCUGUUGAUAAGGUUACAAUCUUUUCCACGGUGAACGCUGUUCUGGCUUCUGUGAGGUUUGGGAACAACCUUUCUUUUGUGAACUUGUGAAGUCAUGCCCACGAGUAUUCUACCAGUGCCACAUACCAUGGCUGAUGAAGUAAGUGAGAUCUAAAAGCAUUCCCGUGUAGGAUGAGAGGACCACAGUAAUAAUGUUCUAUCUCAUAGAUGAGUGUGAAGGUGUAAACUGUAUGAUGGAGAAGCCAAACUUGAAAAUUUACUGGUGAUACAUUACCUUAAGGCAUCAUACAGAAGUAUCACAUGCAAGGUUAGGCAGAUUUGUCAUCAUGAUAGGAAGAAGACCCACAUGUGUAUGUUCUGGCAGUCCAAAACCUUUCUUGAAAUACAGGUUGUUGUAGGUUCUGAGGAGUGAGUUCCAAAUCUUUCUUGUCCCUUCAGCGUCCAGCUGUCCAGGCCCUGAGAGGGAUACAAAGUUGCAUUCAAAGUAGGUCAGUACCUCUGCCAGUAUUUACAGCUGCAGUGAGUCUUGAGUUGGCUUUGUGAUCUGAGAAACAAAGUGGAUACACUUGAGAAAUAUAGAAAUGUGUCUUAUGAAGUUCGAUUCUAUGAGAAAACAGAGGAGGAUGCCAAGGCAGAUAGAUAGUGAUUAUGUUUCUUUGCGUGAUCUUUCUUGCAGUGAUUCUGUUGAAAGCUUGACAACUAGUGGAGGUGAAAGCUAGUAGGCAGGAGAUCCUCUUUCUGUCAAGUUUUCCAUGUAGAGUGAGUCACCCCUGGCAGUUUGUUUAACAGUUUGAUGCUGCCAGGUCGGGGUGUGAGGAUUCUGAAGGACUGGGACUGAAGCCCCUCGCACAUACUGAACUGGUGUGAAAAAAGGUGCUGAGGGGUCUGUUGCCAUCACACUAGGGAUCAGAGGGCUUCUUAUUUUUGGCUUGAAAUUAAACCAUAUGCUAGUAGAAUUGUAUUCUUUUGAGUAACCGUGUCUCACUUGUGAGGUGGAAAAGAGGAAGAUAACAGAUCUUUGGGGUAUAGGCACAUGUGCUGAGGACUGGUCAGAUGCCCCAGACAAUACUACCUACUGUUCUACAUGGGCUAAUGUACAUACCCUUAAAAUGGAGAGGCUGAGCAUCCUGCUCUGGUAGCCUGUCAUAAGGUCAAUGAGAAAUGAUUUACAAGUCUAAGACUCCAAAUAGAGAGCUUUCUAUUGAGCGUGCCCUGAUGUUGUGCUGUUACUCUGAAAUACCGCAUGAAGGAAUGACAUGAGAUCUGUGUCCUAGCCUGGAUGCUCCCGAGUGAAAACUCCACACACCACCUUCUUACUGGGUGUAAUUGGAAGAAUCUAGAAGCAUGAAAUUAUAGAAAAUUGGUCAAAUGGUGCAAAUACCAAUAAGAAAUACCGUAUUAUCAAAGGGAUGUCCAGGGACUAGGGAAUGCUGUAGCCCACCUGGCAGAAAAAAGCAACUUGCUGUGAAAAAAGCCAGACUUGCUGUGUGUCAGACACAUUAGAAUGUGGACACCAUCAAGGUUUCUGUAGAAAACUUGUCUCCACUUAAAAAGUAUUUGUACAGCUGCACAGCAGAUACACGUGAAUUAUCCCUUAAAAGAUAAACCAAUGUAUUUCCUUAUCAUAAUCUUACUAGGUUUUUGACACUAUUCAUUUUUAUACUGUGCACAGUAAUGUGUAUGGUAUGGUAUGGUAUGGUAUGGUAUGGUAUGGUAUGGUACUCGCUCUUUAAUACAUUUCUAUCACAGGUUGUAUUCCAGUGCACCAACAAUAACUUAUAUCAGCAUGUUGUAAGACUUCUGAGAAGGGUGGCAGGAUCACUAAAACAAUUUAAUUGGAGAGUAGGUCCUCACAGGCAAGUACACAAGUUACCAGAUGGCCUCCCUAGUUUGUACAAACUUUCUUGUAUUGAAAGUUGAAGGUACUCUGUUCUGAAGGUACUUGAAGGUACUCUGAAGGGUCUAUUCCUACACUGAGUGGGCUGCACGAGUGUUAGCUGCUUUAAUAGCUUGUGUUUUGUUCAGAGAUCAGUGUGCUAAAUAGUCCCUGAUGAAGAAAAAAGCAUUUGGAAAGUACUUUUCAUAUUCUACAAGAUUUCCACAGCCUAGUUGCUUAAACUCUCUGAACCUUAAUUAACUUUCUACAAGCAAUAACGAGUGUAUCUAUUUCUGAUUCCCUAGUCAAAUAUUUAUUGUAGGACCAACUGGUUUUUGAGGCAAGGAAACCUCUUCUAGAGAAAACAUAACAAUGAAUUGGUAAGUUGUUUGGCAGCAAUUUAGCUGAGUGGCUGUGAAAUACUGAUGGUUUAAAAGAAUCACACCUACUCUCAAUCAAUUGCUUUUUGCUAUAUGCAGGACUUGUUGGGGAUAAUCAGCACAGGCAACUGUGUUAGGCUGGGCCAGCUAAAACAUUGUUUUCUAAGUAUGUGGGUGCAGCUGCCUUGCAGAAAUGUAUUGCAGUAAAAUCCUUCAGUUCUCGAAUAUGGCUGUAAUGGCUGUCUAAAAAUAAUACCUAACAAAGGCUGUCCUUCGCAGGGGAAGCCAGAAAUAACCUUUUUCUCUGUCAAAAUGUAAGGCUAUUAUCAGUUAAUCUACAAGCAGCAGCUUGACCCAGAGACCACGAAAGAGCUGACUUUCAAGCACAUUUUCUACGUUAAGGAAUCUUGAGCUUGGACUUCCCCCCAAAGAGAUAAUAAAUACCAGUCGCUUCAA